AUAUUAUUUAUAACUGUGUAUACCACAAUAGUUUAUCAAAUGUUUUAUAAGAAAAUCCUACACAAGACUAUAUAAAUGUUUUCAGAAAAAACACAAAUCAACAACAAUUUUUAAAUCUUAGCACUUCGUGCUUGAAAUAAUAUCUAACUCAAAUAUUCUAUAUGGAACUUUUUUUUCUUUCAAAAUCAGGGAAACAGAUGUGGUGGUGCUGAUGACACUUCUGGUGAAACUCUGGAUCCACAGACAGGAAAGGAGGACCUAGAACAACAAUCAGACUUUUGCAAAAUUAGGGAUUUUUCAAAAUAGUGGUUUUAUUAAAAGUACGGCUUUUCAAAAGUUUGGUUUCUCAAAGAAAGGUAGCUUGUUUCAAUAGGUUUCUCAAAGGUAGCUUGUUUCACUGGUUGCUCAAAAAAAAGGUAGCUUGUUUCACUGGUUGCUCAAAAAAAAGGUAGCUUGUUUCAAUAGGUUUCUCAGAGGUUUCUGGUACACUGGUUUCUCAGAGGUUUCUGGUACACUGGUUUCUCAGAGGUUUCUGGUACACUGGUUUCUCAGAGGUUUCUGGUACACUGGUUUCUGAAAGGUUUCUGGUACACUGGUUUCUCAGAGGUUUCUGGUACACUGGUUUCUGAAAGGUUUCUGGUACACUGGUUUCUCAGAGGUUUCUGGUACACUGGUUUCUGAAAGGCUUGUCACAAUGGUUUCUGAAAGGCUUGUCACAAUGGUUUCUGAAAAGCUGAUCAAUCAGAUAGAGCGGUAGAGGAGACUGGAAAGUCAGAUUAACCAAACUUAGUCAGAGGGAUAGAGAAAAGGGGGACACAAGAUAGAGUGGCUUUUCAAUUAGAUAGAGCGGUAGAGGAGACAGGAAAGUCAGAGCGUCCAAAAUGUAGCUAGAGGGAUAGAGAAAAGGGGGACACAAGAUAGAGUGGCUUUUCAAUAAGACAGAGAGGUAGAGGAGACAGGAAAGUCAGAGCGACCAAAAAGAUAGGGGAGAGUGGGGAGACUGGACACGAUAC